UACAGAGGUGGCAAGCGUUGUUCGGAAUUACUGGGCGUAAAGGGCGCGUAGGCGGCCUUCUAAGUCAGACGUGAAAUCCCCCGGCUUAACCUGGGAACUGCGUCUGAUACUGGGAGGCUUGAGUAUGGGAGAGGGAUGUAGAAUUCCAGGUGUAGCGGUGAAAUGCGUAGAUAUCUGGAGGAAUACCGGUGGCGAAGGCAGCUCGCUGGGACGGUACUGACGCUGAGGCGCGAAAGCGUGGGGAGCGAACAGG
rnacentral:rRNA from 1 species